AGAGACCGUUUCUUAUGGUACACGCGUCGUGACUCUCUCUCUCCUUAUCCUUUAUUAGCGAAGAAGGAAGAACAAAGAAGCCAUGGCAGGAGUAGUAAAUCUGUUCACUGAACCUCUCCUUCGAUUUUGUUUGUAGAGAAUGUACGGAUUUGUCGCGUCUUUGGCCGCUGGUUUGCUGCUCAUGUUUCUGCCUUAUAGGACCUGAGCAACUAGUCACUUGUGUUCUCCAAUCUUAAAAGACACUCAUCACAAAUCCAUUCUCUCCAUUCUGUCUCUUGUGUUUCGUUGAAGACACAUGAAGGUUCGUUAAACUAGAGAACUACAAUUGCAACACAGUUACACAGGUAAAUCAUAUUUCUUUGAUCUUUUAAAUUGAUUGAAAGUGUGAUAAAAUUUCAUAUUUAUUACUGUCUUGUUGUCUUAAGCUUUGGUGCUCUUAAGUUGAUGUUGUCUAAGUCUAAUUAGUUUAAGAUCAAGUCUAAGUCGUUGUUGUUUUGUUGGAUUUGAACUCUCUUUUUUUUGUUCUUGUUAUGGAUGAUAUAAACUUCUUUUGAUCUUAUCAUCUACCAUGGAAUUAUUUUGCUGAUUUCUUGUCUUGUGUUCUUGUGGAAAUGAAAGUGUGAACCUUAACUAAGCAACUACCAUUAAAUCACUAUAAUUUAGUGUCUCUUAACAAAGUUACUUAUUUUAAUUUUAUUAGUUAAAAAUUCAUUAUGGCCCACUUAAGCAACACUUGAGGGUUUUACCAAUAAACAUGCUCUUAGUUCCCG